UGGACUCCCUGACUCACUUCUUCAUUCAUCCAUCCAUAAAACAUUUAUUGGGCACCCACUGAAUGCCAAGUGAGGCAAGCUAAGCUGCAGCUGGAGAUAUUCUUGUUGACCUACAUUUAAACACCACCACUGCAUGCAUAACUGCCCUCUGAGAUGCGCCAUUUUGUUUGACUCCUUCAUGGGAGAUGCCUUUCUGGGAAGGAGGCUUCCUUUCAUGUAUCUGAGUGCCUCUGUCUUAUCUGUGCCAUGGAGAAGAGGGGACAUUGUCAUAUACCCCUUCACAGUUGAAAAGCCUGAUUCACAUUAAAUUCCUCUUUUUUAUCAUCUCUUCAUUUGCAUCCAGGUGUGAAAUUUCGGGGCGAGGGGGAAAUGGACACAGUCAUGCACAACCGACUUUCCAGCUGCAAGGAUUUUACAAUCGGUUUCUCACACUCCGUGUGACUCUGCCAAGUUGAUCCCUGCUGGGCAUCCCGGGGUCUGGCUUCCGUUCAGAAUCCCCAGCACGGGGUGGGAGGGGGCACAGGAAGACAGACUCCUCUUGGGAGAUUGAGUUGAACAAGAAGUGGCCGAGAGCAGCAUUUGGCUCAUCCAGGAGUUAAAUGAGAUGAUCCGUCUUCUCACUUUGCUUCUCCCAUCACCGUGCAAACACGAAUUGCUGUAAUCAACCAGGGGGCCGGGUGCAGAAGGAGACAGGACCUCUUGUCUUCUUAAGUCCAGGCACAAUCUUUGGUUUCCUGGUGGAGAAGAGUGGAGAGCUGCUGGGGUCCAGGUGAGGGCAGAGUUCUUGGGAGUGGGAGUGGACAGAGGAGUCCAGACAGCGGCCAGGGAUGAGGGAUUCAAAAUGUCAAAGGAUGGGAGAGGUCUGCUAAGAAGCAUUAAUAUGUAAUGUUCUUUGAAAGCUGGAGCUCAGAGCAGGUAUCAUUUGAGUUUUUAUCUAAUGGGUAUGUUCUUUGGAAGGUGAUGCCACAUUGGAACGAGGCCAUGCGAGGCCCAGGGAUCAAUUUGGAUUGCAUUUAGGGAAUGAUGAUCAGAAUUCUGGAACUCAGGCAUUGUGUUCAAGGUGCACUGCUUAUUAAAAUAAUCACCCAAGA